AUUGAACGCUGGCGGCAGGCCUAACACAUGCAAGUCGAGCGGAUGAAGGGAGCUUGCUCCUGGAUUCAGCGGCGGACGGGUGAGUAAUGCCUAGGAAUCUGCCUGGUAGUGGGGGAUAACGUCCGGAAACGGGCGCUAAUACCGCAUACGUCCUGAGGGAGAAAGUGGGGGAUCUUCGGACCUCACGCUAUCAGAUGAGCCUUGGUCGGAUUAGCUAGUUGGUGGGGUAAAGGCCUACCAAGGCGACGAUCCGUAACUGGUCUGAGAGGAUGAUCAGUCACACUGGAACUGAGACACGGUCCAGACUCCUACGGGAGGCAGCAGUGGGGAAUAUUGGACAAAGGGCGAAAGCCUGAUCCAGCCAUGCCGCGUGUGUGAAGAAGGUCUUCGGAUUGUAAAGCACUUUAAGUUGGGAGGAAGGGCAGUAAGUUAAUACCUUGCUGUUUUGACGUUACCAACAGAAUAAGCACCGGCUAACUUCGUG
rnacentral:rRNA from 1 species